UACGUAGGGUGCAAGCGUUAAUCGGAAUUACUGGGCGUAAAGCGUGUGCAGGCGGUUAUGUAAGACAGAUGUGAAAUGCCCGGGCUUAACCUGGGAACUGCAUUUGUGACUGCAUGGCUAGAGUUUGGCAGAGGGGGGUAGAAUUCCACGUGUAGCAGUGAAAUGCGUAGAUAUGUGGAGGAACACCGAUGGCGAAGGCAGCCCCCUGGGUCAAGACUGACGCUCAUGCACGAAAGCGUGGGGAGCAAACAGG
rnacentral:rRNA from 1 species